rnacentral:rRNA from 1 species
UGGGGAAUUUUGGACAAUGGGGGAAACCCUGAUCCAGCCAUCCCGCGUGUGCGAUGAAGGCCUUCGGGUUGUAAAGCACUUUUGGCAGGAAAGAAACGUCAUGGGUUAAUACCCCGUGAAACUGACGGUACCUGCAGAAUAAGCACCGGCUAACUACGUGCCAGCAGCCGCGGUAAUACGUAGGGUGCAAGCGUUAAUCGGAAUUACUGGGCGUAAAGCGUGCGCAGGCGGUUCGGAAAGAAAGAUGUGAAAUCUCAGAGCUCAACUUUGGAACUGCAUUGAUAACUACCGGGCUAGAGUGUGUCAGAGGGAGGUGGAAUUCCGCGUGUAGCAGUGAAAUGCGUAGAUAUGCGGGGGAACACCGAUGGCGAAGGCAGCCUCCUGGGGUAACACUGACGCUCAUGCACGAAAGCGUGGGGAGCAAACAGG